UUUAAUGAGAGUUUGAUCCUGGCUCAGGACGAACGCUGGCGGCGUGCCUAAUACAUGCAAGUAGAACGCUGAGGUUUGGUGUUUACACUAGACUGAUGAGUUGCGAACGGGUGAGUAACGCGUAGGUAACCUGCCUCAUAGCGGGGGAUAACUAUUGGAAACGAUAGCUAAUACCGCAUAAGAGUAAUUAACACAUGUUAGUUAUUUAAAAGGAGCAAUUGCUUCACUGUGAGAUGGACCUGCGUUGUAUUAGCUAGUUGGUGAGGUAAAGGCUCACCAAGG
rnacentral:rRNA from 1 species